AGAGUUUGAUCCUGGCUCAGAACGAACGCUGGCGGCGUGGAUAAGACAUGCAAGUCGAACGGGAUUUAGUUUGUAGCAAUACACGCUAGAUUCAGUGGCAAACGGGUGCGUAACACGUGAGCAAUCUGCCGGGAAGUGCGGAAUAGCUCGCCGAAAGGSAAUUAAUGCCGCAUGUGGCUAGGGGGGACAUCCCUCUGAAGCUAAAGUCGCAAGACGCUUCCUGAUGAGCUCGCGGCCUAUCAGCUAGUUGGUGAGGUAACGGCCCACCAAGGCGAUGACGGGUAGCUGGUCUGAGAGGACGACCAGCCACACUGGAACUGAGACACGGUCCAGACACCUACGGGU
rnacentral:rRNA from 1 species